rnacentral:rRNA from 1 species
UACGUAGGAGGCAAGCGUUGUUCGGAAUUACUGGGCGUAAAGAGUGUGUAGGCGGUGUUCUAAGUCUGUUGUGAAAUCUCCCGGCUUAACUGGGAGGGUGCGGCGGAAACUGGAAUGCUAGAGGAUGGGAGAGGUAAGCGGAAUUCCUGGUGUAGCGGUGAAAUGCGUAGAUAUCAGGAGGAACACCUGUGGUGUAGACAGCUUACUGGACCAUUUCUGACGCUGAGACACGAAAGCGUGGGUAGCAAACAGG